rnacentral:rRNA from 1 species
GAUGAACGCUGGCGGCGUGCUUAACACAUGCAAGUCGGAACGGAGAUCAUUUUAAUGAGGGCUUCGGCGGAUUUGAAUCCGUGAUCUUAGUGGCGGACGGGUGAGUAACGCGUGGGUAACCUGCCUUAUACAGGGGGAUAACAGCCGGAAACGGCUGCUAAUACCGCAUAAGCGGCACAGAGGCGCAUGCUUCGAGUGUGGAAAAACCUCCGGUGGUAUAAGAGUGGACCCGCGUUGGAUUAGCUAG